ACCUGAUCAGCAGUGGGACCUGCACUCUUCUGUGGCUGUCUGCUGGUAUCUGAUAGAGCUGUCCAAAAGUGCUUAUUUGGCACUCUGUAUAAACUAGGCAACGAGGGAUAUCCCAGGAGGGCUCCAUACUGCAAGGGGCUGUUGUCCUAUCAGGGGAGCCUCUGUCCCCUCAAACUGGUACAGCUGUCAGUGAUCCUUGCCUGCGGGUAGACAGCCAGCUCAGCUACAGCUGUAAGUGUAUGAGGCUGCAGAUACGUACAAACAGAGGGUGCUGAAUUCCAGAUCAAUGUGUGCCACAAGGAAAAGUGAGAAAAUAAGUCACAAAGGCACAGUGAGCAACAGUGAUAAUGGGCAGAUAAAGAUGAAAUGUUGGCAGAGGUCUGACUCCUGCAGAGAGGAAAGAACACAUACUAUUGAUGCCUGGCCAAGGGCCACCUAUGGGACUGUGAACUGGAGAGCCUCCUCAUCUGUCCAGCUCUGCAUUUCUGGAGAGUAACGUGGGGAAGAAGGGCUCCAGACUACAGGAAGGAAUACUACAACAAGAUGCCAUUUUUACUGUGCCCCCCCUUCCCCUGUAAUACUAGAGAGGACAGGAGCAGGAGUAUGAUACAGGAUACUGGCAUUUGAGAUAUCAGCGUUCAGAAGACCGACACCAGCAUUCCAAUGCUCAGCAUCAUGACAGGG